GACGAACGCUGGCGGCGUGCUUAACACAUGCAAGUCGAACGGAAAGGCCCUGCUUUUGUGGGGUGCUCGAGUGGCGAACGGGUGAGUAACACGUGAGUAACCUGCCCUUGACUUUGGGAUAACGUCAGGAAACUGGGGCUAAUACCGGAUAGGAGCUCCUGCUGCAUGGUGGGGGUUGGAAAGUGGCGGGGGUUGGGGCUGGUCUCCCGGCUUAUCAGCUGGUUGGUGGGGUAGUGGUUUACCACGGCUUUGACGGGUAGUCGGCCUGGGAGGGUGACGGGCGACAUUGGGACUGGGAUACGGCGCAGAGUCCUACGGGAGGCAGCAGUGGGGAGUAUUGCAGAAUGGGCGGGAGCCUGAUGCAGCAACGCCGCGUGCGGGAUGAUGGCCUUCGGUUUGUAAACCGCUUUAGCCUGUGACGAAGCGGGAGUGACGGUAAUGGGUAAAGAAGCACCGGCUAACUACGUG
rnacentral:rRNA from 1 species